GACGAACGCUGGCGGCGUGCCUAAUACAUGCAAGUUGAGCGCUGAAGGUUGGUACUUGUACCGACUGGAUGAGCAGCGAACGGGUGAGUAACGCGUGGGGAAUCUGCCUUUGAGCGGGGGACAACAUUUGGAAACGAAUGCCAAUACCGCAUAAAAACUUUAAACACAAGUUUUAAGUUUGAAAGAUGCAAUUGCAUCACUCAAAGAUGAUCCCGCGUUGUAUUAGCUAGUUGGUGAGGUAAAGGCUCACCAAGGCGAUGAUACAUAGCCGACCUGAGAGGGUGAUCGGCCACAUUGGGACUGAGACACGGCCCAAACUCCUACGGGAGGCAGCAGUAGGGAAUCUUCGGCAAUGGACGAAAGUCUGACCGAGCAACGCCGCGUGAGUGAAGAAGGUUUUCGGAUCGUAAAACUCUGUUGGUAGAGAAGAACGUUGGUGAGAGUGGAAAGCUCAUCAAGUGACGGUAACUACCCAGAAAGGGACGGCUAACUACGUG
rnacentral:rRNA from 1 species